rnacentral:misc_RNA from 1 species
GCCUGAGAAUAUACUCUUUGUUUCUGCAGACUACAUAAAAGUGCCCGACUACAAGGGUACACCAUGGUCACACAGAGACAGAUCAUUUUAUAAAAGGUUACCAAAGUCGAGUGCUAUCAAAGUAAUAGACUUCGGUAGCACUGCUUACGAACGACCAGAUCACAACUAUAUUGUGUCCACACGACAUUACCGUGCACCUGAAGUUAUUCUUGGCCUUGGAUGGAGCUACCCGUGUGAUUUAUGGAGCGUGGGCUGCAUCUUGGUAGAACUAUGCUCGGGUGAAGCUUUGUUCCAGACACACGAAAAUUUAGAGCACCUGGCCAUGAUGGAAAGAGUAUUGGGUACAUUACCAUCACAGAUGUUAAAUAAAGUGGAUCGACAUGCAGAGAAAUAUGUAAGGAGGGGUCGAUUAGACUGGCCUGAAGGCGCCACUUCCCGAGAGAGCAUAAAGUCUGUGAUAAAGUUGCCUCGUCUCCAGAAUUUAGUGAUGCAGCAUGUUGAUCAUUCAGCUGGUGAUCUUAUAGACCUUUUGCAAGGUCUCCUUAGAUUUGACCCGUCUAUCAGAAUGACGGCUCGUGAUGCCCUAAGGCAUCCCUUUUUCACUAGGGACCAAUUCCGGAGGUUAUAAGAGGAUGCAUUUUUGUUUGUCAUCGCUCCUGCAUCAGUUGUUCAUACCUGUAUUGUAAUCUCAAGGUAUCGAAUUAUUUGGCAUUUCUAUGAGAAGAGAAUAUAGUUAGUGAAGUCAUGUGCCUCGUAUGAGGGAGAACUUGUAUGUAUUAUGCUCGAGAGAAUGUCCACUUUCACCAUCUCUCAAGAAAUUCUAUUGUUGUGGCAGUCCCAAUUUUUGUUCAGAACCUUAGCCUUUUUGCAAUAAG